rnacentral:rRNA from 2 species
UUAGGAAUAUUGGGCAAUGGAGGAAACUCUGACCCAGCAACGCCGCGUGAAGGAAGAAGGUUUUCGGACUGUAAACUUCUGAUCUGAGGGAAAAAGAAAGUGAUGGUACCUCAGGAGAAAGCCACGGCUAACUACGUGCCAGCAGCCGCGGUAAUACGUAGGUGGCGAGCGUUGUCCGGAAUGACUGGGCGUAAAGGGAGCGUAGGUUGCGAUUUAAGUUAAAUGUGAAAGCCCGUGGCUCAACCACGGAACUGCAUUUAAUACUGGAUUGCUAGAGUACAGGAGGGGUGAGCGGAAUUCCUAGUGUAGCGGUGAAAUGCGUAGAUAUUAGGAAGAACACCGGAGGCGAAGGCGGCUCACUGGACUGCAACUGACACUGAGGCUCGAAAGCGUGGGGAGCAAACAGG